UAUCCAUGAUGAGGAUAUAUAUUCAACAACUCCUUAAAUCUCUCCCAAGACUGAUACAAAAUCUCAUUGUCUUUUUGUGCAAAUGUGGAUAUUUACUUUUUUAAAGCG